UUUCCGUAGGUGAACCUGCGGAAGGAUCAUUAUUGUGUAAACGAGUUACGAGGGCUUUCGCUGAUCCAAAAGGUCGUGCACGCCCACGUGCCCUCACACACAUCCAUCUCACCCCUAUGUGCACCACCGCCUGGCUCCCCCUUUGGCUUGUUCUGCGGAGGGCUUCCGUUUGCACACAAACUUUGUAUGCAGUGUAGUAUGUAUUUUUUGUUUUUGAGAUCACGCAAUCAAUACAACUUUCAACAACGGAUCUCUUGGCUCUC
rnacentral:misc_RNA from 1 species